CCUUUGAAAUGUAAAUGAGAAAUACCCAAUUUAAUUUAGAUGGAAGAAAAAGAAGAAAAGGGAAAAAAAGAUUCUCAAGGUAGAUCUGCAACAGCGCCAUUGCGAUCCUAGGGAACAUCACCAUCCCUUAGAUUUGCAGAAAGCUGUUUCAUCUACGUGGAAGGGACCAGAUGUUCUUCUCUCCUCCGCAAGGGGGCAUGCAUGUGUCUUUCCACAGGAUGCCGAGUCACCAGUCUGGAUUCCGGACCGCCUCAUCAGAUCAUACAAUCCCAGGGCAGAAAAGCAAAAAGUCUCCCCUCAACAACCGACAGCGAAAGAUGAGAGCGGAGCGUGCCUCAUUCCUGAUGACGCCAGACAGCUCUGAGCAGCGCCUCACUUCUGCUUUCACCAGGCUUCAGCUGCAUGGUCGCUCAUCUACCACGCUGUUGCCAACUUGGGAUCAGCUUCAAGAAUUGGUCUCUGCUGCAAGAGAUAGCGUGCUUCCUCUCCGACUCCCAGUUACUCCCUCCAAUCUUCUCCUGCUAUGCUUUCACUUCUCUUCACCCAGCUUGUUUUCAGCAUCCAUGAUGUGGAGGCGUAUUACAGCACAAUAGGAAAGAGCUGGCUGCUGUGUAACAAAUUUGCCGCUGUUAAGUGCCCAUUCAACCUCACUUGGUCCCUGAAGAGGAACUCAAGGUCUGCCCCCCUGCUGCCUGUGAGCCAGGAGUAGGCACAGAAAGGCAUGGCCACAGCGCUGGUUUCCAAUUCCUCAGUAAUGCUGGAUUUCCACUAACGUACUUGGAUACACAAAUACAGUGUGGUAAGUUACAAUACAUACUAAUCAUUUCUUACAUAGGGCAGCAGUUGAUUGACUACAACUAAUUCUAUUUAAAAGAGAAAGAAACCUGGCUCUUGUGGAAAUAUACAAAGAAAUAUCUACGAUGCUGGGGAAUGAAUUCUGCCAUGGACUGAACUCAGAAUGGGGGGGGGGGUUGGAAGAAAGAUGCAUGGUUAAAUAGCCCACCAGGUUCACAUUGUGUCAGCUUGAUUUAAUUUAAGGACAAAAAGGGGAGUAUCUCUAAUGGCUUUCUUUUUAACCCUUGAAAGGAUCCCUGGGGACUGGCCUCAGUACUUCGUACUUCUUGCUGGGGCAACAAUGCUCAAGGAAGCUUGAGACGGUCAUAGGCACAGUAUUAUGCUAGAUAUACAGAGUAGAUAAUACUAAGAUGUUCAGAUGGUGAUAUCCAUUUAUAUAUACUCUUAAUGUGGACCUAAGGAAAGAGAGAUCAAGGUCCUUACAAUAGAAAGAUCAGUUCCAUUUUUUUCUACCAUUCCAAACUGAACGACUGGUAGGGAGAGAAUGGUAGAUAAUUGAGAAUUCAUAGAUGAUGCUUUGAAUGAAGAGUGGGUUUCUGCGCUGGUUUUAGACAGGGUCUCAAGUAUCGCAUGUUGCCCUCUACCUGGUUGGCCAGGUUCUCUUUGAGCUCAGAUAAACCUCCUUCCACUUUCCAAUACAUAGGCUUACAAGAGUGGCCUCCAAGGACUGUGAGGACAGCAUUAGCCUGUGACAGUUGAGGUGUGCAACCCACAACUAUAGUUUUAGCCACGAUUUUCCAUGUCUACCAGCUAUUUCAGAUUGUUGCUGUUCUAUGCCUGACAAUCAAGGACGCAGAAAAAUAACCUGAUAGAGAACAAGGGCAUGGUGAUCACAUCCUUGCCUCUUCUGUAUGUUCUGGAUGAGGUUUGUUAAAAUUCCAAUAUUGCAAAAAGCUUUAUAUAGGGCCCAUCACAUUAAGGGUCUCUGUGCACUGUUCUAUCUAAAAUGGCCCAAUCAGAACUGACCACCAGAUAACACUUCCUGCAAUCUUCAUAUGAGAGAGAAGCUUGAGCUUUUUGUUUUGAUUUUUUCUUUUCUCUUUCUUAUUUUUUGCUAUAUAAGUUGAGAGAAAGAGAGUUGGGGCCAUGAAUUUGCUCCCAAAAUUUGAACUAUGGAUGUGAUCAAUCAGUGUUAGUGUGUGCAUUCUAUAAAGUAUUCAUUCUUUACUAUGAUAGAUGCUUCUGUGUUUGGUGGGGUGGCCAUUUCCCAGUGUACAGGUGCUGGGACCUUGCUCUAUCCACUUAAUGAUGUUUAUAGCCUCAUUUUAGUUGUUUAUGUGCACCCCCUAUGUCUCUUGACUAUUUUAUUUUUCUGAUAGAAGCUCAUGGUACAUCUUACUCAGGCUUGUGAGCAGUGCUCCUUUGGCGACAUUGGUGCAGAGAGGAGAACCCCACAAGCAGCAUGAGGUUCCGUUCACUGGUGGCUCCAAUAUUGCACUUUCCUCUGCCAACUGGUCUCCACACUUUUCCUAGCACCAUAAAGACUUCAACUCUUUCUCCUAGGAAUUUAUUGGCAAUUGUCAAUUGCUAAGCACAUGACUUCAUGAGUGUUCCCCUAACACACACGCAUGUUGUAACCUACCAUGCAGACUAUUUCUUGAUGUGAUAUAAAGCACCUGUACAUAAUGAGACAGGAGAACUUUUGACUGCAUAUUCAAGCUGGUGUGAAAUCUCAGGAAGUUUUAAUGGCUAACAUUGGUGAAUGAGGACAAUUUGAGUUAGUGAGACAUUUUGGGGCAAGAUAUGGAAGGAAACAUUCAUUUAGAUGCAUAGGAAUUACUAAGGUUUUUUUAUACUCAAGCCUUGAGGAAAAUUUGGCUUUAGAAGGAGGAGAUUCCCAGUGCUCUGCCCCAGGAAAGUCUCCUGGAAAGGGCCCCUCAGCUUAUGCUCAGUACAGGGAGAUUAUUAUCAGGAAACAAAAUCUGCUCCCCAUGACAUCAGCUGUCCCUUCUUGGACAUUCUAUUAUCUCCUAGAGAGUUCUUGGCAUCCUCUGUGAUGUCACCAGUGUUGUAGUGACGACCAGUGCCCUAGUUUCUCUCAUACUGAGUCUGGCGGUUACAACCUAAGACAUGUUUUCCCGUCUUAGGAAGCGUUUUGGGAGGGGGAUCGUCGAUUCUGGAGAGACUAGAGUGAAGGAGUCUGGCCUUUCCUCUCAAAGUAAUGAUGGACAAAGACAGCACUUCUGGGGAAUGUCAAGUAAGCCAUGGGCAGUAUAUUUUGAGCUUCCUGUCAGGGGGGCUGGAGGCUUAAGCUGACCUUUCUAGCAAUGGGCCACAACAACUGGAGCAUCUGAAAAGGAAUUGAAUUUCCAUGAAUAUCACAAUUCUUAAAGUCAAGGAUUUCAGACCUUUAGUUUCCCCAUCCCCACUGUGAGGAUAAGGUAAGGCCAAUGCUAUUAUACUGUGAACUUCUGGCCUUUACUUUUCAGUUCAUUUGUUCUGUUACAUUGAUAUAAUAACCUCAUCAGGAGUCAUGGAGGGUCCACUUUUUCUGAGUUUAGACAGGGCAGCAAUGUACUUCACUAUCAUUGCUUCUUUAAAUACAGUGGAUAUCUGACAGUAGGAACAGGGAGAGAAUAGUGCUCCAGGCAAUAACCUUAUGUUCUUACACCUCCUCUGAUUUCUUCUAACUGGCAUGGUCAUCGUUUGCUUUAUAUAUUAGAGGUUGUAUGUUACAAAAAUUUUUCUACAAUACCAAAACUAUUUGGAACGUGUAGACCAAGAUUCAGCCUGUAACCUAUUCGCACUUCUGGGGCAUUUGGUAUUUCACAUAGGGACACUGAUAAGUCUGUUGAACAUAUCCUCCCUGGAAAUGCGUUUUAAAUCCAAAGUUGUUGGCUUAGAGUAUCAGGGUAGGACAUCUGAGUGUCUCCAAUCACUCAAGUUUUGUGGAUGGUGAAUUUAUCAUCUGAGUUCUGAAGCCACAGGGGUGAGGGUCCUGAAACCAAGCUGUAACCUGUUCAGCUGAUAAUAAUCCUGGAGAAGCCAUCUCCGUGGUACAUGUAAGCACGUGAUGUCCGGCAUAGGGAACACCUGGCUGCUUAACUCUCUUGGUCUCUAUAGAGUAGUGGGAGAACUGAGAUCCACUGAGGAUAGACCAAUCUUUUUGUUUUGAUUUUCAUUGAAGUUUUCUUUUUGUUGUUUCAUAUUUAUAUGUUCUUGUUACUAUUUUUCACUUUUAAAUAUUUUUAAAUAUUUUUAUUCAUUUUAAUCCUGUUUGUUGUAAAAAUGUAUUUGUUAUGAAUAAAAAUUGAAUUCUAUCUCUUGACUCUUAAGACCAUCAUUCUUACUCAAGGGUUCUGUCCCCUCCUGUGGACCUAGAACUGACAGCUACAGAUGGAUCUCUGCAUGUUCCAUGGAGCCUGGCCUAAUAAGUGAAUUCAAAGUCACCAAGGGGUACCCAGUGUGACAGUGUCUUUUGUGUGGAUAAUGUGGCUGUUUCUCUGACACACACUUUAUGAUGUAAUCACUGACACACUUUACCCAAUUGUUAGGGUCCAUGUGGUUCUUCUGAGAGAGCAGCAGAUGCUCUACCCUGUGAGUCAUCCCCACAGCUCCUGUAGGUGGCUUUUGUUAUUCCACAUGAGGUGCUGUAUUAGGUGGACAGGAUCACCUACAAUUAAAUAGAGAGAUCUCAGGAGAUGUGUGUUCACAGGGAACUUACUGAGCCGUGCGUGCUCAGUGUGUUAGGUUGUCAGGCAUCCCUACAGGGCUCUGGUGUUCCCACUCCUCAUUGUGGGUCAGGAUCAUCCUCCAGCACCUCUUAGUGUCCAUAUUAGAGCAGAUCUUUCAACUGUUAUCAAUGAUGACCAUAUGUAUUAUGCACAUCUGAUAAAAUACAGAACAGAAACUAGCUUCCUCUAGGCCAGCUUGGCAUAAUCAGUUUUUUGAUUGUUAACGAGAAAAUUAUUUUAAUCUGAGCCAUUUAGGGAGGAACCUCAAGAACAUCCAUAGUGAAUGUAGCCUGCAGCUGUGAACACAGGUUUCUUUUGGAGAGCAGGCCUGUGCAAGCCCAACCUAGGUGGGACAGUUCAAGCUACCCUUUUUCCAUGGCCAAUCCGGUAUCAUAUUGAGAUGUAUUUUUUCCAGGUGACUGAUUUCCAAUUUAUGGAAUUAAUCUAACUUACUGAGAGUGGAGGUGAGUCAGAGAGUUAAAGUACAGAAGGAAUAAUCCAGAAUGUCCACAAAAGCUUGCUGUCACCCCAGGGCUUUUAAAAGCUCAGCAGCUAGAGAAGCAAUGUAGUAUUUGGGUAUUCUCAUGCUUAGGUCUAGUCAUUCAUCAUAAGCUGAACAUGACACAAAAAGAGUCAUCUGUGUCACAAUAGAAACUAGUUGUAACUAGAUUCACCCCACACUAUCACAUCACUACCGUAUUUGAGGUUCUCAGUUACUAUCUAAGACCCUGGAAGAGGCCUGGGUGUUGCUACACAAACUCAUGAUUUAUGUCUUCAUGACACUGUGUGCUUUGUUCUGUUAAUGCUACCAUUGGCAUACAAUACCUUGGAUACUUUGUGCUGACAUCUGUGACCUGAGACAAUAGUUCAUGUCAUCCUAACCUGAAUAAACUGUCCUUAGCGUACAGUGUUGUAGGAGGGGCCUUCUUUUCCUAUGAGAUAGCAAAACAUUACCACUCUUCAGUCAAGUCUGUCAGCCAUUGUCUAGUGCCUGUCUUGAGAUGUCCACCUUUUCAGCUGACAGUCUUCAUCCAGGCUGCUCUGUAAUUUUGUAGAAGAUUAAUUGGUUCCAGCCUUAGGAUUUAAUUCUGUGUGACUGUACUUGCCAAACAUGCUCAAAGCCCUAUGUUUCAGCCUAGCCCUCUGUGCUUUAGAGAAAGAAAAUAAAGAACCACAUUGCACUUGAAGUUUCUCCUCCAACAAAAGGAGAGCCUGCACAGGGCCUUUAAGUAACUCUAAGCCCCAGCUUCCCCACAACUCCCUCCAUCAAUUCCAUUAUUGGUGUGUUUUCAUUACUACUCACUUUCUUCUUUGUGUGCAAAGAAUGUGCACCAUGUCAGUAAAGUGUGUGUGUGUGUGUGUGUGUGUGUGUGUGUGUGUGUGUAGUCCCUAGUGAAAACUGUGGAGGUACAUGCAGACUCAUGCUACUGCUGUCCCAUGGCACCUUGCAGGGAACACUGAAAUGGUGGGCUACCUUACGACAGCCUAAACCAGGCUAUGCAUGGUUUUCAGUAAGAUUUUGACGUCAUCACCACUACAGAGAGCAGAAACAGCUCAGCAGUUACGUGUUGCUGUUAACAAGAUGAGGCCAAACCUCAUCCCAUAGAAUGUCAGGUACGAUUUGAUGGCAGGAAAUUAAUUCAGGGCUCAAAUCAAAUCAGUCAAUUACAAAUAAAGUGAAAAAUACAAAGAGUCAAGAGAACCAAGUCCUGUGUGUUGGGUUUUUUGUUUGUUUUAUUUUUUUUGUUUCUUUUUUUGUAUUUUUGUUGAGAAGAUCCACCAGAGAGGCAACCCCUUCCUCAAACAAACUGCACACCAGAGACAAUACCUAAAUUGACACAAUUAGAAAUAAAUGGGGGAAUCUAACAUGAGGCAAUGAACAAAUUCAACAACCAUUAGGUCUUACCUCAGAGGCCUUUACUCCAGAAAACUGAAAAUCUAUUUGAUAUUGGUAUUUUCUAGACAGAUAACAAUUACCAACAUAAACACAGAUCUGGGAAGGUACAUGGAUAAUUCUCAGAAGAAAAUAGAUACAGUCAGUAUAGUUUGCCCUCCCAAAAUUAAAAAGCAAAAUUUCUGGACCCUAUGGCUUUAACGCAGAAUGCUAUCAGACUUUUAAUGAAGACCUAAUAACAAUAGUGCUUCAAUUAUUCCACUAUAUUGAAAGAGUAGGAACAAUGUCAAACUCCUUCUCUGAGGCCAUAAUCAACCUGAUGUCUCAACCACACAAGGAGCUCCCUACAGAGAGUGUAAGCAAGCCAGGGGGCCAGGGUGAGUGCUCAUGGUGGGAGAGACUAGCAGAGGUGCUGUGUCCUUGGUGUGCACAGGCUUAGGGCUGGGGCAGGGUGCCUGGUGAGUGUCUGUGGCCACUUGAGCUGGGUCCCAGUGGGCGCCCAGGGAGGUCACAGGCCAGUUGUGCAUCUUCUACCUGUCUGCGGGGCUUCUGGCCCAGCCAAGCACAGCCUUCAUCCUGGACAGCCACAAGGACAAUGAAAUCAGGAAAUGGGGGGAUCCCCUGAGACUCUCUGGCUUCUUUCGCCCUGCACUUGCAGUUGCAGCCAGAGGAAAAGCAGCUGUGAGUUCCCCAACUCUUCCCAACCACUCAGGUCUCCAUGCUUUCCCACUCCAGAGAGAAGGAGGGCAGGGCAAGCUCUGCUGCUGCCCGUUCCAUGCACCCAAAGCCUAACUUUUGUCUGGAGGUCACUGCUUGCCCCUGACCCUGCCCCUGACCAUAAACUUGCCCCUCCCCCUACUCCUGACACUGCCCCUGACCAUGAACUUGCCCCUCCCCCUACUCCUGACCCUGCCCCUGCCCAAGGCACCUAGGGGAAGUGAGGAGAGCCUGAGGGACAGACCCCAGGUCAGGACCCCCAGAGGCUUGUGUCUCCCUUUUCCUAGAAGUGUUAUCCUCAAUUCUCCACACUGGGUUUCAUUUGCAAGGAACUGGCAGUUGGAGGGCUUUGCUGAGCCUGGGGUAGUGGUGGGACUUACGAUUGAGGGAACUCUUUCAGGGAGAUGGAGGCCUUUCUCAAACGCUCUGAAAUCAGGUACCCUUCCUGGUUUGAGAGCCCUGGGAAAGUUGGGAAGCCACUUUUCCCUGUCCUGUGUGACUUUCCCUGCAGGGUGGGCUCUCCUGCAGGAGACACUUUCACAGGCUUCUUUAAAAGCACCUUUUCCUCAGAUCCAGAUCAGCUGUGAAAACAGGCUUCUCCAUGUCAGGGUGAGAGCUCCCCCUCCCAGCUCAGAGCUACAACUCCUUAGGAUCCUCCAGUCACAAUGCUGGGUGGGUCCCAUGGAGGAGUUAGAGCAAAGUGCCCCUUCUGAGAGUUGACUUCUGAGAAGAACAGACCAGAGAGAACAGAGUGCAUCCCAGGGGAGAAAAGAGGCCAGAAUGAUUUUAAAUUGGAGAAAAACCCCAUAUCCACCAUCUAACAACUUUAGGGUGUGUGCAUGUGUGGACUUCAGAACCUUAAGGUCAGAUUUUCUGAUAACAGCUGCUAG